GGGGUUUUGUAAACUGAGGAAGUACCGAGCACUGACCUCAAACAGAGAGGCUGGGGAGAAAUGGGUAUGACUGAGCUGACAAGUCACGGGGCCGUGGCGAAGGGCUAGUUCUUUAACCCUUCCUCCUUCACCGCAUCCAGAAACCUUCUCUGCACCCUUUAAUCCUGAGCAACUGUCAAUCUCAACUGCCAAGAGUCAAGAAACCCGAGGGGAAUUGUGGGUAGGAGAGAUCUCAUAAGGCUGCAGGAAGCACUGAGCAGUGGAGAGGUCGGGUACCACCUCCCCACCCCCAAAAUUAACUGUGAUGGCUCCGCCCAGGGGGGAGCCUCACUUUCCCUUAAUAUCCUGGUGCAGGAGGGAGGUGGGGCUGUGUCGGAGUGUCCGAUGGCUGCUCCCUCCUUCUAGCAGCGGCAGGUGUCCCCCCUGACAGAGGGGACCUGCAAAGCCAGCAAAUGAAGCCCAAAGCCCAAAGCACGGUGGGUCACUGCCUGCUCGCUCUCUGAGCUGCAAGCCUCACCCUAGCACUGCAGCCUGAGCCCAGGGGGAGCAGCCUGUAGGACUCCAAGCAGCCACGGCAGGAGCGAGCACAUGCCUGGGAGGACCAGCAGGCAAGAACCAACCAGAACGGAUCCGGCACCUCCAGCUCGCACCAGGGCACGCAUGGACGCCACGGUACAGUGCUCAUCCCCCAAAUCUCCUGCCUUCGAAGCCACUGGAAAUGCCGGGCUCUUCCGCAAACAGGGCGGAUUCUACGGAGCAGCCAGAGCUUUGCCAGCUUCCAGUCCCACUUCGUCCCUGAGAAUCCGCUCGCUGGGGUCUGGUCUCUAUCUCAAUCCCCAGUUACUGUUGCUCCUUCAGUAAACCUUUGUUGCGGGCCGACCUCUGGAGCCGGGGCUAGCUACAAAGUUCAGAGAGAUCUGGUUCCUGCCUUCCAGAAACAGAGGAGGGAACUGAGUGUUAUAUUAGACUCACCGCAGUAUCUCUGCUCACUUGAUCCCCGUUUCCUCACUGAGAACAUGUGGACAGCAGCUGUCCCCACUUCACAAGAUCGGCGUGAAGACAAAAUGAAAAAUGCACACCAGGGUGAACCGCAGGGCCCAGCGCGCCGGAAGUCUGGACGACGUUUCCUAUGAUCUUGUUUCUCUUUUGGAUAGGAACCUGCUUCCCAUCUCAAGGGGUCCUCUGAGCCCAGAAGAGCUACCAUCUAAGAACUUGACCAAAAGCACCAGUGGAGUAAAGCUGGUAUUGCUUCUGGAACAUGGAGAAGUCCAAUGUCCACCAUGGCUGGGCUGUCAGGCAAAAAGGACCUUCUUUCCUAACCUAAAACCGCUCUCGCCAAGAGAAUUGGGUGAAUGAGAAGGCAGCCACGCCUCUGGCCUCUAAGUAGCCCAGAGGAGGAGGAAGGUGUGCCUGCUUUUCCCUUCCUCAUGCGCUUCUUAACUCCUUCCUCCCAGAAGAGGCCCAAGAAACAGCCGACAUACCAGUACCACAUGGUGCCAAGGGCUGGGGGAAGCUCACACUGCCAGCCUCGCGCUCCACUCGGCGCCGCCCGUACCAGUGGGUUACUGUAACCAUGGAGACCAACAAGUUCCUCCAUAUCACAGGAGAAGAGUCCGCCUGCCAGCAGCCCAGGGCUCUGGGGGAGGCAGAAGGCAGCCUGCAGCAGAAAGCUUACGUUUUUAUUCAGCAUUGUCUGGCUGUACACGGUGGAGCAAAGGGCUGGAGUCCCAGGUCUGCAGUGGGACCCCAGUUCCACCACUCUGGCUGCCGGGGAGGAAACGGCUUGGAAGUGUGGUACGAAGAGUCACACAGACCCACAUGCACUAAAAGCAAGGCUCCUGCUCUCAUGUAACAUCUUCUUUUAAGGGAUCCAGGUAGUUGUUGGUUCCCAGUCCGGCCUUCCCACAACACAGCGCUUUCGGGAGGGACCCAGGUCUGAUUCACCGCCACAACAAUGCCUCUACCACAGAGCAGGGGUUGGAAAUCGGUACUGAAUGCAUAAAUGGACACAGCUAAGUGGGCAGGAAGCCAUAAGAUCCCCUCGCCCAAGGAGGGAGGGCAUCUAGAAAGCAUUAGUUCCACGAACUAAUUUCCUCAGGUGGUGACAAGGCCCUUGGUGCUCUCUCCUGACACAAUGCUGGUGGCAAAUGUCAUCAAGAGGUGGACUGGAGACAGACUGAGAACACAGGCACAGCCAGGGAUGGGGGGGCCACGCCCCACAUUCCCGUCCCUGACCCCCCUCAAACAAGCCCAAGGCCCCUCCUUUCAUCAUGGCGGUGGGGGGCUCUGCACUUCCUGAUGCCCAACAACCACUGGGCCUGACUUGAGGCGGCUCUCUGUCUCUCCACAGUCAUCUCACACCUGCUUUGCUAUCCAAAACCACUGUGUCUUGGUGGGACGGGCCAUUCUAAGAGCUACUGAUUUGGGGAAGUGACAGUGAAUUACUUGUAGGAGACAUUUAUUCUCUGGCACACUGAGAGCUCGGCUUUCGUAUUUCCUCCCUGAACUGAUGUAAUGACUGUAAGGCCCUGUCACCCCUGGAACACCAAUAAAAUUCACCCAUACACACCUUCCUCCUGUCCUGCUGCAAAAAUUGGCACUCCCACCCUGCCCCCCAGCCUGCCUCCUGUUACAGAAAAGCAAAGGAACUAAAAACGGCAGCUGGGGAGCUCAGUUGACUCACCCAGCAUAAUCAUC